GGGUCAGUAGGUUGGUCGUGCCACCGGUACGUACUGGUCUCACUGAUUCCUCCUUCCUGAAGAACCGUAAUGCCAUUAAUUUGGUGUAGCGGGGAAACAGGACUGUUACUUUGAAAAAAUUAGAGUGUUUAAAGCAAGCUAACGCUUGAAUACAUUAGCAUGGAAUAAUGAAAUAGGACGAUCGAUCCUGUUUUGUUGGUUUCUAGGAUUGACGUA
rnacentral:rRNA from 1 species